AUUGAACGCUGGCGGCAGGCCUAACACAUGCAAGUCGAACGGUAACAGGAAACAGCUUGCUGUUUCGCUGACGAGUGGCGGACGGGUGUGUAAUGUCUGGGAAACUGCCUGAUGGAGGGGGAUAACUACUGGAAACGGUAGCUAAUACCGCAUAACGUCGCAAGACCAAAGAGGGGGACCUUCGGGCCUCUUGCCAUCGGAUGUGCCCAGAUGGGAUUAGCUAGUAGGUGGGGUAACGGCUCACCUAGGCGACGAUCCCUAGCUGGUCUGAUAGGAUGACCAGCCACACUGGAACUGAGACACGGUCCAGACUCCUACGGGAGGAAGCAGUGGGGAAUAUUGCACAAUGGGCGCAAGCCUGAUGCAGCCAUGCCGCGUGUAUGAAGAAGGCCUUCGGGUUGUAAAGUACUUUCAGCGGGGAGGAAGGGAGUAAAGUCAAUACCUUCGCUCAUUGACGUUACCCGCAGAAGAAGCACCGGCUAACUCCGUGCCAGCCGCCGCAGUAA
rnacentral:rRNA from 1 species